rnacentral:rRNA from 1 species
GGCGGCGUGCUUAACACAUGCAAGUCGAACGAAGCUGCUUAAAGGAAGUUUUCGGAUGGAAUUUAGGUAGACUUAGUGGCGGACGGGUGAGUAACGCGUGGAUAACCUGCCUUAUACAGGGGGAUAACGGAGAGAAAUUUCCGCUAACACCGCAUAAGACCACAGCACCGCAUGGUGCAGGGGUAAAAUAUUUAUAGGUAUAAGAUGGAUCCGCGUCCGAUUAGCUAGUUGGUGAGGUAGAGGCUCACCAAGGCGACGAUCGGUAGCCGGCCUGAGAGGGUGAACGGCCACAUUGGGACUGAGACACGGCCCAAACUCCUACGGGAGGCAGCAGUGGGGAAUAUUGGACAAUGGGGGAAACCCUGAUCCAGCGACGCCGCGUGAGUGAAGAAGUAUUUCGGUAUGUAAAGCUCUAUCAGCAGGGAAGAAAAUGACGGACCUGACUAAGAGCCCC